ensembl:misc_RNA Y_RNA Y RNA
AGCUGGUCCAAGGGCAGCGGUGUUUACAACUAACUGAUCACAACCAGUUACAGAUUUCUUUGUUCCUUUUCCAUUCCCUCUGCUUCGCCUGACGAGCCUAAA